rnacentral:rRNA from 1 species
AUCUUGCUCCAAAGAGAUUAAUAAUUCAACAUCGAGGUCACAAUCUUUUUCUUCUAUGAGAACUUAAAGAAAAAAUUGUGCUGUUAUCCCUACGGUAGCUUGUUAAAUUCCCAGUUUGAGGAUAGAGUGGGAGGUGAGAAAAAAGAUAUAGUUUUUUACCGCCCCAGUUCAACAAAAGUGAAGUUCGAUAGGGUCUUGUCGUCCUUCUCUUUUAUACAAGUUUUUUUACUUGAGUGAAAAGUUAAAAUAAUUUAGGUGAUAAAGAAAUUUAUAUGUCAAACCUUUCAUUCUAGCCUUCAAUUAAAAGGCAAAUGAUUAUGCUACCUUAGCACAAAAAUAUUGCGGCUAUUUAAGAAUUCAUUGAGCAGGUUCUACUGAAUAUGAAAUCAUUCAGAAAUGUUUUUGAUAAACAGACAAUAAAAUAAGGGCCGAGUUCAUAAACCUAAAGUUAGUCUGUUCCUUUGGCGGCGGGUUUAAGAUAAAGAGUAGUGGUUGAUAUUUUACUAAUAAAGUCAUUGUUGGGUGGGUUUAAAAGAGAAGGCUUCUUUUAAGAAAAUUUGUAGGAUGGUAAGAUAAAGUUUUUAAACUGAAAGACACUAUUAAUCCUUAACUUGAGAGAAUUUUAGAAGUGAAUAAUUAGAAAAAAAGAUUGUCCCUUUUAAAAUUUUAGUAUUAUUACUUUUAAAGAUAACCAGAUAUCAUAGAAUGCGAGUGGAAUUUCAUCUCUAUUUCCCCUUUGAAAAACUUUAUGAAACAAGAUUGGCAAGGGAAAAUAGAUCAUUUCAAUUUCGGGAAUAUUUAUUAAAAAGUUAUGGUUGAAUUUCCCUGAUACAAAAGGUACAUCAAUUUUCUAUUGAACAAUUUUAGGGCCCCUUUCGGUUAAGAAAUAAAAAGGUAAAAAGAAACAGUAUAGAAUAUUAUUUUAGACAAAAUUUUAAGUAGACGGGUCU